rnacentral:rRNA from 1 species
UGGACCUACGGGACGCAGCAGUGGGGGAUAUUGCACAAUGGAGGAAACUCUGAUGCAGCGACGCCGCGUGAGUGAAGAAGUAUUUCGGUAUGUAAAGCUCUGUCAGCAGGGAAGAAGAAAGACGGUACCUGACCAAGAAGCCCCGGCUAACUACGUGCCAGCAGCCGCGGUAAUACGUAGGGGGCAAGCGUUAUCCGGAUUUACUGGGUGUAAAGGGAGCGUAGACGGCAGGGCAAGUCUGGAGUGAAAGGCAGGGGCCCAACCCCUGGACUGCUCUGGAAACUGUCCGGCUGGAGUGCAGGAGG